GGCGCAGCGCCCCCUUCUCUCUCCCCCACCCCCCAGGGCCGUUCCCCAUUCCUCCGUACAUCGUAACACUAGGUUUCGUCGGCGUCGGGCGAUUUCGUCGCGGGAGGAGGGGUGCGAGGGAGCAGGCGCUGAGCUCGUCGGCGGAGCGCGAGCGCACGCUAGCGGGAGGCGUGCUCAUCGGCGAAGGGCGGGGCGCGCAGUAGUGCGGCGAACUCUGCGUCGAGGAGAGAGAAACUACCGGUUGUUCUGUGAGCUCUAAUUCGACGAGCGAGACGAAUCGGUUGUGCAGCGAGCCCUGCAUCGACAAGUGAGAGGCGUGCGACGGCGGGGACGACAUCAUCAGGGAACAGGAAAAAUACUUCGUUCUUGGGAAGUUGUAAGCUUUAGUCGAUCAUGUGCUUGGAUCCAUGGAAAUUUGUGUCACGGCCCAGUGGUGGAUUUGGGAACUUGUGGCCAGAAUUGGAGAAUAGGAGAUGAGAAGAGUAAGCAGGAGAUGGGAAAAGAGCCAGAGGGUGAGAAUAGCGUUCACACUUCAAUUACUCGAUACCUCCUUAAUUCUGUUACAGAGGUUUAUGACGACACCUCGACCCACACCAGCUAACACGGCCCAACACCGGCCCACCGCUACUACGGCCCAACUCCUGCUUCUACUUGGCACACCGUAUCAAGGUUUACUGAACAGAAGAUACAGUUGUGACGAUUUGGAGAAGGAAGAAGAACUGGAUUUGUUGGUAGUGCAUAACAUGGAAGUUGUGUGAGGUGGAGAGAGGGAGAGGGGUACGGUGGUAGUUACUGUGAGUGAAGACGUGGCACGCUAUGGAAAUCUUACUUUUAACAUGUUGGAAACCUAGGAGCAUCAAGGUUGUAAUCACAAACCUAGGAUAUGUUUUUACUCUUUCUAUAUGGGGCAGUAUGCAACUUGAUCUUGUUAAGUUGAAUUAGGUAUGCCACUAACUUGUACUUACACUUCAGCUAAGUUGCAUGAACUUCCAGUUUUGUUGUUUUUCGCUAUGGGAAUCUAUGGGGUAGGUACAACUAAAUUGCUAGGUAUUGACCUGGAAUUUCGGAUGAUCUAAGUUGCUGCUUCUUUCUUAGUUUUUGUUGUGUUACUUGUAUAUAUAUAAUCCAAAAUAAAACAAGUUCCUUGACUUACAUGAUUUGGUUGUACCCAUACAAGUUAUUGUUUUUGUUCUCUAUCCCAAUUGUAUGUAAAAUUCAGUCCCUCUUUGUCCCAUACAUGCUAUUCUUUCUUAUUUUUGUAUCCUAUUGCUUUUUACUAGUGUUGUUUUUCUGGUUUUACUACUGCAUUUUCUGGUUCUUAUAGGUGAGCUAAGUUGCUCCAAGUUCUAGGUUUGGUUUUUGCAGCAAAACACUCAAGAUUUGUUUCUGGGAUGUUUCAAUAGGUUUUCUCACAUGGUCCAACUAUUGUUCUUUCAGCUAUAGAACAAAUUAAUGACUAAAUAAAAUGCCAAGCACUCCUCCUUGCUUUUUAUUUCUGCUGUAAUUAGCUGCUUUGUAAGCCCUAUAGUAGGUGUAGCAUCAUUCCUAGGUGUUACAGGUCCAUAGUUGACACGUAUUGGCUAAGAUGGUUUUUUUUGCACAAAAUAGCUAAAAGAAGGUGUUGGUGCUACCAUAAGAUGCCGUCUUUUUGUUGGGAUGACUAGGACUGAAGAGUUUGCAUCUUUGAACUUACCAUGGAGCUUUUCCAGUGAGACCCGAGGCGAUGAGCAACUCAUUUGCAAGCAGGACCAACUUCAAUAUACGCAAGGAAAUCAAUACAUUGUGUGCAACUGAAAACUGUGUUUGCCUUAACCUGGAGAUUUUCUAUAAAUUUUGUACUAACUUGUAAAUGUGCCUUUUGCAUGAAACAUGGGGCUUUCCCCAAUGUAUUUAUGUUGAUCCAGGUC